GAAAUAUUAAAUGCAAACACAUUAACCAUGGACCAAAGGCCUGAGCAAGUGAAAACAGGUGAAGUCUGAAUGUAGACACAGGAUUUAUCCUUAGGACCCAAAUCCCUCUCAGACAGGUAUUUAUAGAAACUAUUUGGAUACAUCAUUGAUGGUUCAGAACAUUCUUUUAAAAUCUGUGGUUCUCUGAUUAAGCUAAGGUUUUGUUACACAGAUUUACCAUUGAAAUAUAUAUACAGGAAAGUGGAUCUGGAGGAAAUUUUCAAAAAAUUGAUCAUACCUAAUUAAUUUGUAAUUACUAACAAAAUCAAGACUGGACCAUUACAGUGCCCCUACAACUUCGUUGUGCCCAUUCAAGCCACCAGCUCCUCCUUCCUCAAAGAAACCCACCAUCCUGACUUCUAACACUGUAUAUUAGAUAUGCCCCUUUUUGAACUGUGUAAAUGGAAGCAUCCAAUAUGUCCUCUUUUGUGUCUGGCCUCUUUCUUUCGAUAUUAUGUUUUCAAGAUGCAUCUACACUGUUGCAUGUAGCAGUAAUUCAUUUAUUUUCAUUGCUCUAUAGUCUGUAUCAGUGGUUCUCAACUGGAGGCACUUCUGCACCAUUACCCAUCUCAACAGGGGACAGCUGGCAAUGUCUGGAGACAUUUUUGGCUGUCAUGCUACUGUCAUCCAAUGGGUAGAGUUCAGCGAUGUUGCCAAAUAUCUUACAAUGCACAGGACAGGCCACAUAGAAUUAUCGGGU
rnacentral:lncRNA from 1 species